GAUGAACGCUGGCGGCGUGCCUAACACAUGCAAGUUGAACGAAGACAUACCGACGGAAUCCUUCGGGAGGAAGAUGGUAUGGACUGAGUGGCGGACGGGUGAGUAACGCGUGGGUAACCUGCCCUGUACAGGGGGACAACAGUUAGAAAUGACUGCUAAUACCGCAUAAGCGCACAGUACCGCAUGGUACAGUGUGAAAAACUCCGGUGGUACAGGAUGGGCCCGCGUCUGAUUAGUUAGUUGGCGGGGUAACGGCCCACCAAGACGACGAUCAGUAGCCGGACUGAGAGGUUGAACGGCCACAUUGGGACUGAGACACGGCCCAGACUCCUACGGGAGGCAGCAGUGGGGGAUAUUGGACAAUGGGGGGCAACCCUGAUCCAGCGACGCCGCGUGAGGGAAGAAGGUUUUCGGAUUGUAAACCUCUGUUGACGGAGAAAAAAAUGAUGGUAUCCGUUUAGAAAGCCACGGCUAACUACGUG
rnacentral:rRNA from 1 species